AAUAUUUCGCAAUGGAGGAAACUCUGACGCAGCGACGCCGCGUGAGCGAUGAAUGUCUUCGGAUCGUAAAGCACUUUUGGCAGGGAAGAAAAGGCGCGGGUUAAUACCCUGUGCCGCUGACGGUACCUGCAGAAUAAGCACCGGCUAACUACGUGCCAGCAGCCGCGGUAAUACGUAGGGUGCAAGCGUUAAUCGGAAUUACUGGGCGUAAAGCGUGCGUCGGCGGUUUGGCAAGAAAGGUGUGAAAUCCCAGGGCUUAACCUUGGAACUGCACUUUUAACUGCCAGGCUAGAGUAUGUCAGAGGGGGGUAGAAUUCCGCGUGUAGCAGUGAAAUGCGUAGAGAUGCGGAGGAAUACCGAUGGCGAAGGCAGCCCCCUGGGAUAAUACUGACGCUCAGGCACGAAAGCGUGGGGAGCAAAC
rnacentral:rRNA from 1 species